rnacentral:rRNA from 1 species
GAUUAUGGCUCAGGAUGAACGCUAGCUACAGGCUUAACACAUGCAAGUCGAGGGGCAUCAUGAGAUUAGCUUGCUAAUCUUGAUGGCGACCGGCGCACGGGUGAGUAACGCGUAUCCAACCUUCCCUAUACUAGAGGAUAGCCCGGCGAAAGUCGGAUUAAUACUCUAUGUUCUUCGUAGAUGACAUCUGAAAUGAAGCAAAGAUUUAUCGGUAUAGGAUGGGGAUGCGUCUGAUUAGAUAGUAGGCGGGGUAACGGCCCACCUAGUCGACGAUCAGUAGGGGUUCUGAGAGGAAGGUCCCCCACAUUGGAACUGAGACACGGUCCAAACUCCUACGGGAGGCAGCAGUGAGGAAUAUUGGUCAAUGGGCGAGAGCCUGAACCAGCCAAGUAGCCGUGCAGGAUGACGGCCCUAUGGGUUGUAAAUUGCUUUUAUACAGGGAUAAAGUGAGGGACGUGUCCCUUUUUGUAGGUACUGUAUGAAUAAGGACCGGCUAAUUCCGUGCCAGCCGCUGC